rnacentral:rRNA from 1 species
GAUGAACGCUGGCGGCGUGCCUAAUACAUGCAAGUCGAGCGAACAGACGAGGAGCUUGCUCCUCUGACGUUAUCGGCGGACGGGUGAGUAACACGUGGAUAACCUACCUAUAAGACUGGGAUAACUUCGGGAAACCGGAGCUAAUACCGGAUAAUAUAUUGAACCGCAUGGUUCAAUAGUGAAAGACGGUUUUGCUGUCACUUAUAGAUGGAUCCGCGCCGCAUUAGCUAGUUGGUAAGGUAACGGCUUAACAAGGCGACGAUGCGUAGCCGACCUGAGCGGGUGAUCGGCCACACUGGAACUGAGACACGGUCCAGACUCCUACGGGAGGCAGCAGUAGGGAAUCUUACGCAAUGGGCGAAAGCCUGACGGAGCAACGCCGCGUGAGUGAUGAAGGUCUUCGGAUCGUAAAACUCUGUUAUUAGGGAAGAACAAAUGUGUAAGUAACUAUGCACGUCUUGACGGUACCUAAUCAGAAAGCCACGGCUAACUACGUG